rnacentral:rRNA from 1 species
UACGGAGGAUCCAAGCGUUAUCCGGAUUUAUUGGGUUUAAAGGGUGCGUAGGCGGCUUUUUAAGUCAGGGGUGAAAACUUGCAGCUCAACUGUAAGCGUGCCCUUGAUACUGAAGAGCUUGAAUAAACUAGAGGUAGGCGGAAUGUGACAAGUAGCGGUGAAAUGCAUAGAUAUGUCACAGAACACCAAUUGCGAAGGCAGCUUACUAUGGUUUAAUUGACGCUGAGGCACGAAAGCGUGGGGAUCAAACAGGAUUAGAUACCCCAGUAGUCC